ensembl:lncRNA ATPase phospholipid transporting 9B (putative)
UUUAAAACAUUUGGUGUCUUUUUACAACUUAAAGGUUCGUGUUUUAUUCGAACUGACCAGCUCGAUGGAGAAACAGACUGGAAACUAAAGGUUGCUGUCAGCUGUACACAAAGGUUGCCAGCUUUGGGGGAUCUUUUUUCAAUCAAUGCUUACGUUUAUGCUCAGAAGCCACAGCUGGAUAUUCACAGUUUUGAGGGUACCUUCACACGGGAAGACAGUGAUCCAGCAGUUCAUGAAAGCCUUAGCAUAGAAAAUACGUUAUGGGCAAGCACUGUUGUGGCUUCAGGAACUGUAAUUGGUGUUGUCAUUUACACAGGGAAGGAGACUCGAAGUGUAAUGAACACAUCCAAUCCAAAAAACAAGGUUGGCUUGCUGGAUCUGGAACUGAAUCAACUGACCAAAGCCCUAUUUUUGGCUUUAGUUGCACUAUCAAUUGUUAUGGUAACCUUGCAAGGAUUUGUAGGCCCCUGGUAUCGCAACCUUUUCCGGUUCCUCCUCCUGUUUUCCUAUAUCAUCCCUAUCAGUUUACGUGUGAACUUGGACAUGGGUAAGGCAGCCUAUGGGUGGAUGAUUAUGAAAGAUGACAAUAUUCCUGGAACAGUUGUUCGAACUAGCACCAUACCAGAAGAGUUGGGACGAUUAGUUUAUUUACUAACGGAUAAAACAGGAACACUUACACAGAAUGAGAUGAUAUUUAAGCGCCUCCACCUAGGUACUGUGUCCUAUGGAACAGACACAAUGGAUGAAAUUCAGAGUCAUAUUAUAAACUCUUAUUCACAGUCUUCUGCGCCUAAAGUCCGCAAGAGUGUCAGUAGUCGAAUACAUGAAGCUGUGAAGGCUAUUGCAUUGUGCCACAAUGUGACCCCAGUGUACGAAUCUCGUGCGGGUGUGUCUGGAGAAACAGAAUAUGCAGAAGUGGAUCAAGAUUUCAGCGAUGAAAAUAGAACUUACCAGGCUUCCAGCCCUGAUGAGGUAGCUCUGGUACAAUGGACAGAGAGUGUUGGUCUUACGCUGGUUAACAGAGAUUUGACCUCAAUGCAACUGAAGACCCCUGGUGGACACAUUCUGACAUACUAUAUUCUGCAAAUUUUCCCCUUCACUUCUGAGAGCAAGCGCAUGGGGAUCAUAGUUAGGGAUGAAUCUUCGGGAGAAAUUACAUUUUACAUGAAAGGUGCAGAUGUUGCAAUGUCCACUAUUGUACAGUACAAUGAUUGGUUAGAAGAAGAGUGUGGUAAUAUGGCACGAGAAGGACUGCGUACUCUGGUUGUUGCCAAAAAAUCACUGACUGAAGAACAGUAUCAAGAUUUUGAGAGUCGAUACAACCAAGCAAAGUUAAGUAUACAUGACAGAACCCUGAAGGUUGCUGCUGUUGUGGAGAGUUUGGAGCGAGAAAUGGAGUUGCUGUGUCUCACUGGAGUAGAAGAUCAACUGCAAGCAGAUGUUAGACCAACUCUAGAGAUGUUAAGAAAUGCUGGAAUAAAGAUAUGGAUGUUAACAGGAGAUAAACUGGAGACAGCAACUUGCAUUGCGAAAAGUUCUCACUUAGUAUCUAGGACUCAAGAUAUUCAUAUUUUCAGACCUGUUACCACUCGAGGAGAGGCUCACUUAGAACUAAAUGCCUUUAGAAGGAAGCAUGAUUGUGCCUUGGUAAUAUCUGGGGACUCACUUGAGGUUUGUCUGAAGUACUAUGAACAUGAAUUUGUUGAGUUGGCCUGUCAGUGCCCUGCUGUAGUGUGCUGCCGCUGUUCUCCCACCCAAAAAGCCCAUAUCGUGAAACUGCUACAACACCACACUGGAAAGCGCACGUGUGCAAUAGGUGAUGGAGGAAACGAUGUCAGCAUGAUCCAAGCAGCCGACUGUGGAAUUGGAAUUGAAGGCAAGGAGGGAAAACAAGCAUCCCUAGCAGCUGACUUUUCUAUCACACAAUUCAAACACAUAGGUAGGCUGCUGAUGGUACAUGGUCGAAACAGUUACAAAAGAUCGGCAGCACUUGGUCAAUUUGUCAUGCACCGAGGCCUUAUUAUUUCAACUAUGCAGGCUGUAUUUUCAUCAGUCUUCUAUUUUGCAUCUGUUCCCUUAUACCAAGGAUUCCUAAUGGUAGGGUAA